UCUUUUCCUUUUUUUCCCGCAGCCGCGGUAAUACGUAGGCGGCAAGCGUUGUCCGGAAUUAUUGGGCGUAAAGGGAGCGCAGGCGGGAAACUAAGCGGAUCUUAAAAGUGCGGGGCUCAACCCCGUGAUGGGGUCCGAACUGGUUUUCUUGAGUGCAGGAGAGGAAAGCGGAAUUCCCAGUGUAGCGGUGAAAUGCGUAGAUAUUGGGAAGAACACCAGUGGCGAAGGCGGCUUUCUGGACUGUAACUGACGCUGAGGCUCGAAAGCUAGGGUAGCGAACGGG
rnacentral:rRNA from 1 species